AACGCAGGCCGCACCUUGCAGCGUCAUUCGUGUUGCUACAUGGUAUAUACGUAUGAGUGUCAGUCCAAUAUCAUUUUGGUUCAAGAGAUGAUAAUCACCAACAUUUUAUCUCUCUUGGAUACAUAUUUUAUAAUUUUAUUUAAAUAUGUCUGGCCUCAUAUGUGUAAGGUUACCCGCUGGAUUUAA
rnacentral:misc_RNA from 1 species